CGUACCACCCGAACGUUAUUCGGAUUCACUGGGCUUACAGAGUCCGUAGGCGGUCGAGAAAGUUGGAUGUGAAAUACCUCAGCUCAACUGAGGAAUUGCGUUCAAAACUACUUGGCUAGAGAGAUACAGAGGUGAGCGGAACUGAUGGUGGAGCGGUGAAAUGCGUUGAUAUCAUCAGGAACACCGGUGGCGAAAGCGGCUCACUGGGUAUCUUCUGACGCUGAGGGACGAAAGCUAGGGGAGCGAACGGGAUUAGAUACCCCGGUAGUCCUAGCCUUAAACGAUGAGCACUAGAUCGAAGGGACCUCCACAUCCUUUUGGUCGUAGGGAAACUGUUAAGUGCUCCGCCUGGGGAGUAUGGUCGCAAGGCUG
rnacentral:rRNA from 1 species